ACAGUGAUAGCUAUGGCUUUAUUGAAAACAUAUAACAUUCUUAGUGAUGCCGGAAGCAAUCCAUACAAGUAAACAUCUUCCACCCAGAAAAAUGGUGUAGAAAAUGCGGCUUUGUACAUUGGGCGAAUAAUAUCAGCAGAUAUCAGUACAAAAUACCCAUUGCAGUACGGCACUGGAUAAUGCGUCAUGUUCUUAAACUGAUUUGCAGGAACCACCCACUUGCCAUUUUCUCUCAUUAUACGGCUUGUACCCUUAGGUCUUAAAUGACCCAUAAUUUUUCGCGAAGCGUUAUGAUACAGCGGAAGGUAGUAUUCCAAUAGGUUGAACACAUUCACAAACAUGUCGUCAUCAACUUUCACAACCAUCUCAACAUUGGAGCAAAAUUCACUUAUCCAACGAUAUGUUAGAACUCCUUUAUGGGUAAGAUUGUGAUAAGAAUCUAUGAACUGGCCUUGUAUGAUAUCCCCAUACACAGUGCUUUCGUUUUCGAGCAUCAUCUGAAUUUCCUUGUCACUAGUUUGUCCAAAGAAGAAAGCAAUUCGGAAACUUAUAUUGCGAAAAAUGUUAGUAUUGCCCCAGGUUUUACGUAUAGCCCGCCUUCUCUUGAAAUGAUCCGUCGAUGUUUGAAGGAUGAACAGGAAAUUAAGUUUGGAAUCGGAUUUACAGAUGGAAGGAUUGUUGAUGAGAUAUGGAGACACGAGAGUUAAUGGAUAACCUGUGUUUCCCUGUGGAUCUGUGGUGUCAGUUCUCAGAACAGAAAUCGGUUGGGAGUAGAUUUUUUUGUCAUCACUAUUAACUCGCUGAUAUCUAAACGAAGCUGUGGAUCGUGAUAUUACUGUCCCUGGGGUAUUGAAGAGAUGGACAAUCAGGAUGAAUGUAGUUGUGAGGACACCAAGAAACCAUGCAAGACGUCGGUGGUGAAAGUUAUUCAUCAGGUUUUUUAUGGUCAUCCCACAAACAUAAAUAGAAAGACACUAGUUACAGUAUAUACCAUUGGUUACCAAAAACAGUCAACGUUUAUUUCAUUACAUUUCUAGGUUCAUAGUUAUUCAAUCAUUAGGUUAACAGAUCAGUCUUGGGUUGUUAAUUAUUCUAGUUUUUAAAAAUAAAUAUUAUGUAGUUUUGU
rnacentral:sRNA from 1 species